ACAGGCUAGUGGCUUGUACUAUAGCAUAACCUGCCUUUGCUGGUAUGUGGCGAUUAGGCCUGGUGGAACCACCAUCAAUAAAUCAAGCGUGAUCAGGUGAGGAACAGGAAAGAAGGAAAUAUAGGGAAAUGGGGUGAAUAUCAGAGGUUGGGGCAUGGUAUUAAGGGACUGGGGUGCAGAGAUAUAAGAGGUUGGGGCACGGAAAUAAGGGAUUGGGGCACAGAGAUGCGAGGUUGUGGCACGGAAAUAAGGGAUUGGGGCACAGAGAUGUUGGGGCAUGGAAAUAAGGGAUUGGGGGUUCUUGCCCCGUAGAAAAGCGGGACUUGCCGCUAAGGGUGAAGGAGAAGGGGUUGAGGGGUACUUGCCCCUGCCCCAGAAAAGCAGAGAAGGGGUAGAGACAAGGAGAGAAGGGGUUGAGGGGUACUUGCCCCUUCCCCAGAAAAGCGGGAC
rnacentral:lncRNA from 1 species